UGGGGAAUUUUGGACAAUGGGCGAAAGCCUGAUCCAGCAAUGCCGCGUGUGUGAAGAAGGCCUUCGGGUUGUAAAGCACUUUUGUCCGGAAAGAAAUCCUUGGCUCUAAUACAGUCGGGGGAUGACGGUACCGGAAGAAUAAGCACCGGCUAACUACGUGCCAGCAGCCGCGGUAAUACGUAGGGUGCAAGCGUUAAUCGGAAUUACUGGGCGUAAAGCGUGCGCAGGCGGUUUGCUAAGACCGAUGUGAAAUCCCCGGGCUCAACCUGGGAACUGCAUUGGUGACUGGCAGGCUAGAGUAUGGCAGAGGGGGUAGAAUUCCACGUGUAGCAGUGAAAUGCGUAGAGAUGUGGAGGAAUACCGAUGGCGAAGGCAGCCCCCUGGGCCAAUACUGACGCUCAUGCACGAAAGCGUGGGGAGCAAACAGGAUUAGAUACCCUGGUAGUCCACGCCCUAAACGAUGUCAACUAGUUGUUGGGGAUUCAUUUCCUUAGUAACGUAGCUAACGCGUGAAGUUGACCGCCUGGGGAGUACGGUCGC
rnacentral:rRNA from 1 species